GAUGAAGAACGUAGCGAAAUGCGAUAAGUAAUGUGAAUUGCAGAAUUCAGUGAAUCAUCGAGUCUUUGAACGCACAUUGCGCCCCCUGGUAUUCCGGGGGGCAUGCCUGUCCGAGCGUCAUUGCUGCCCUCAAGCACGGCUUGUGUGUUGGGCCCCCGUCCCCGGUUUCCCCCGGGGACGGGCCCGAAAGGCAGCGGCGGCACCGCGUCCGGUCCUCGAGCGUAUGGGGCUUUGUCACCCGCUCUGUAGGCCCGGCCGGCGCCAGCCGACACCCAACUUUAUUUCUAAGGUUGACCUCGGAUCAGGAAGGGAUACCCGCUGAACUUAAGCAUAUCAAUAAGCGGAGGA
rnacentral:misc_RNA from 1 species